rnacentral:lncRNA from 1 species
ACAUCCAUUUGUCUUUCUCAAGUCUCAAAAGCUUUCAUCCAACUCAUUUAUGCGAGUUCUGUUUUUUUAAAACUUUUUCAGCUGUUGUCUUUAAUAUAUUAGUCAACACUCCAGCUUUUAAAGCUCUCUCUUCCUUAGUCCUUGCCUGUGUUUGAGAUGUGCUAAUUACGUGUUCUCUUAUAGAGGGUUAUUUGAGCCUUUCAUAUGUUUUACGUGAUUCCUUGAUAUGCAAGUACAAUUGGUUUUUGUAUGUCGCCUAGCAUUUUAACAUUCAAACUUAAGGGUUCCACCUAGUUGCUACCUCAUAGGAAUAAUCAUCCUAAAUGCCCUCUAGGAUCUAUAGGAUGGGACGGGUAAUAGCACGCAAUAAGCAUUCGUGACCGAUACACACGCUUAAAUAACAUCUAAGGGGGUGGGAAGGGUAGAAUAUAGAGAUGACGACGACGCGAUAAUAUCAUAAAGUGACCCCUCUUUGGGAAUAUGUGCGGGAUAUUGCAUCGAAUGAUCCACAUUAUAGUUAAACCUAGG